UAAAAGAUAAGCUAAAAUUAAAGCUAAUGGGCUCAUAUUUCAUUUAUGGAAAAAUUCCUCUUUUUA
rnacentral:tRNA from 2 species